ACCAUUUGUUUUUCUCCUCAAACUCACUUUCACUCCAACUCUCAAACCCUCUCAGUUGAGCUUCUUUGAAUUUUUUCAGUUGUUCCCGGAGAGAAGAGAAUCAUCAUUGUUUCUGAUUGACUCGUUCAGACUCGGCCAGGUUCGGAUUUUGAAUCGAACUGGAAAGAAAAAGAAGAAUCGAUUAUGAUGGUGCCGAAUGGGAGGUUAGGGAAUUUUGAAGCAACUGAGGAAAUCCAAACGCGAUUAUGUUUGGUUUAAUUGAUUUCUAGUUGAAUUUGUUUUUCUCUCGGUAGGUGAUGAUAGGUGAAGCGGUUGAACCAAAAUCAUGAAUGCAGAAGGAAGAUG
rnacentral:lncRNA from 1 species